rnacentral:rRNA from 1 species
UGGGGAAUAUUGGGCAAUGGAGGAAACUCUGACCCAGCGACGCCGCGUGCGGGAUGAAGGCCUUCGGGUUGUAAACCGCUUUCAGUAGGGAAGAAGCGAAAGUGACGGUACCUACAAAAGAAGCACCGGCUAACUAUGUGCCAGCAGCCGCGGUAAUACAUAGGGUGCAAGCGUUGUCCGGAAUUAUUGGGCGUAAAGAGCUCGUAGGUCGUUUGUUACGUCGGAUGUGAAAACCUGAGGCUCAACCUCAGGCCUGCAUUCGAUACGGGCAAACUAGAGUUUGGUAGGGGAGACUGGAAUUCCUGGUGUAGCGGUGGAAUGCGCAGAUAUCAGGAGGAACACCAAUGGCGAAGGCAGGUCUCUGGGCCAAUACUGACACUGAGGAGCGAAAGUCUGGGGAGCGAACAGGAUUAGAUACCCUGGUAGUCCAGACCGUAAACGGUGGGCACUAGUUGUGGGAACCUUCCACGGUUUCUGCGACGCAGCUAACGCAUUAAGUGCCCCGCCUGGGGAGUACGAUCGCAAGAUUA